rnacentral:rRNA from 1 species
UACAGAGGGUGCGAGCGUUAAUCGGAAUUACUGGGCGUAAAGCGCGCGUAGGCGGCUUUUCAAGUCGAUUGUGAAAUCCCCGGGCUUAACCUGGGAACUGCAGUCGAGACUGUCUAGCUAGAGUAUGGGAGAGGGAAGUGGAAUUCCAGGUGUAGCGGUGAAAUGCGUAGAUAUCUGGAGGAACACCGGUGGCGAAGGCGGCAUCCUGGACCAAUAUUGACGCUGAGGAGCGAAAGCCAGGGGAGCAAAGCAGG